rnacentral:rRNA from 1 species
UGCGAGUCUUUGCAGUGAUGCAAGGCAUACGGCUCAGUAACACGUAGUCAACUUACCCUAUGGACGAGGAUAAUCUCGGGAAACUGAGCAUAAUACUCGAUAGAUCAUAAUGCCUGGAAUGGUUUAUGGUUGAAAUGAUUCGUCGCCAUAGGAUGGGACUGCGGCCCAUCAGCUUGUUGGUGAGGUAAUGGCCCACCAAGGCGAUUACAGGUACGGGCUCUGAGAGGAGAAGCCCGGAGAUGGGUACUGAGACAAGGACCCAGGCCCUAUGGGGCGCAGCAGGCGAGAAAACUUUGCAAUGUGCGAAAGCGCGACAAGGUUAAUCCGAGUGGUUUCUGCUAAAGAAAUCUUUUGCAAGUCAUAAAACCACUAGUGAAUAAGGGGUGGGCAAGUUCUGGUGUCAGCCGCCGCGGUAAAACCAGCACCUCAAGUGGUCAGGAGGAUUAUUGGGCCUAAAGCAUCCGUAGCCGGCUCUGUAAGUUUUCGGCUAAAUCCAUGUGCUCAACGCAUGGGCUGCCGAAAAUACUGCAUAGCUAGGGAGUGGGAGAGGUAGACGGUACUCGGUAGGAAGGGGUAAAAUCCUUUGAUCUAUCGAUGACCACCUGUGGCGAAGGCGGUCUACCAGAACACGUUCGACGGUGAGGGAUGAAAGCUGGGGGAGCAAACCGGAUUAGAUACCCGGGUAGUCCCAGCUGUAAACGAUGCAGACUCGAUGAUGCAUUGGCAUAUAGCCAGUGCAGUGUCGCAGGGAAGCCGUUAAGUCUGCCGCCUGGGAAGUACGUACGCAAGUAUGAAACUUAAAGGAAUUGGCGGGGGA